rnacentral:rRNA from 1 species
CAGUCGCCACGGUAAUACGUAGGUCCCGAGCGUUGUCCGGAUUUAUUGGGCGUAAAGCGAGCGCAGGCGGUUAGAUAAGUCUGAAGUUAAAGGCUGUGGCUUAACCAUAGUACGCUUUGGAAACUGUUUAACUUGAGUGCAAGAGGGGAGAGUGGAAUUCCAUGUGUAGCGGUGAAAUGCGUAGAUAUAUGGAGGAACACCGGUGGCGAAAGCGGCUCUCUGGCUUGUAACUGACGCUGAGGCUCGAAAGCGUGGGGAGCAAACAGGAUUAGAUACCCCAGUAGUCCCUGUCUCUUAUACC